rnacentral:rRNA from 1 species
UACGUAGGGUGCAAGCGUUAAUCGGAAUUACUGGGCGUAAAGAGCUCGUAGGUGGUUUGUCGCGUUGUUCGUGAAAACUCACAGCUCAACUGUGGGCGUGCGGGCGAUACGGGCAGACUGGAGUACUGCAGGGGAGACUGGAAUUCCUGGUGUAGCGGUGGAAUGCGCAGAUAUCAGGAGGAACACCGGUGGCGAAGGCGGGUCUCUGGGCAGUAACUGACGCUGAGGAGCGAAAGCGUGGGGAGCGAGCAGG